GUGCCAUCCGAUUCAUCAUCUGAAUCUGAAACUGCUGAUACUGGUCGAUGCGUUCAGUCAGCUCCUGAGCUCACUGCUCAGCCUACUGUCGAUCCUCGGCAGCCUACCUCUGCACCUCCAUCAACCGAGCUUGGCAUGUAGAAUGGAUCUAAAUCCUAGAUGAUUGUGAAGAUGAAGGAGCAAUGAUUCCAUAUCUUAAACUCCUAACAUAAUAGGGUCUCGUACCGA
rnacentral:lncRNA from 1 species